GUCACAGGUUCAGAGUCUACGGAAAACAAUGUGAUUGUCUGGAAUGCACUGGAAGGGGAGGGAGGAGGCAAUGUGGCCCAGUGGAGUGAAGCUCAACCAUGAAAUGCCCACCAUGGUGGAGAGGGAGUGCAGCCAUGAGAUGUCCAGCCAUGGUGAGAAUGCUCAUUGAAAACUCCAGCUGAUACCUUCAACUUCAGAGGGCUUCUAUUGGAUAUGUCCUAUUUCAGAACAACGUACCCGGGGUGGAAGAGGACGCAGAUCAAUCUAAACACCGUCAAAAUACACGGCAGUGCCUUCCAGCUGCGCACAGCAUGGGCCCACAGAUGCAGGGGCUGGAGCUGAAGCUUGCACACGGCCCAUAUCAGGAGCAGGGGCCCGAGGCCAACCCACAGUGAAACCUCACAUGGCUGGGAAGCGUACAUGGGGGCUGUCUGCUGCAGCAGAGCAUGGCUUCGGGACCACGCAGGACUGGAUUAAAGUUUUGUUUCCUCACGCACUUUCUCCUGUUUCUGAGCCUCAGUUUCUUCCCUGGGAACAGUGCUG
rnacentral:lncRNA from 1 species